UUGAGAGAUCAAUUAAACCCCAAAAAGAAAAAGAAAAAGAAAAUCUUCUCUUUCCUUCUUUCUCUGUAAAACCCACUCAGGAAUAGUAGCAGAAGUGACCACCAGUCGCCGAUUGUCGGAGAGCAUUCCCGGAGAUCAGUGAUCGAUAUCCGUCAAAAUCAUUUUUUUAUUUUUUGGUGUGUUCGGUAAAACCUUCUGUUUCUAUCUCAAGCAAUCUAAGGCUUUUAUUCAAUCCUCUUUCUUUUCGUUGUUCUGUUCUGAAAUUUGAAUGAAUUUUCAAUUCAAUGUUGCAGGAGUUUUCGUAGGGGAGGGGAAGUUGGAUAUGUCAAGGUUUCGCUCGCUACUGCAAGCAUCGCUGAAUGCUACUAGAAGAGGUAUUUCACCACUACCGAUCUGAUUCCUUUCUAGUUUUAGCAGAUGCUUUUCAUUUCUAUUUCUUGUUACCAAAUACUUCGAGGAUUUGAUGUUCGUCCAUUUCGUUAUCCUCUUAGUUGAUACGAGACGGAAUAUAUAUUGAUCCCAGCCUGUGAUGCGAAAAUGCAGAACAACUGAAAAACUCGCAGAAAAUACCAAAAGCAGUGAGAACUUCGAAAUGACUAGGCUAUGAACUGACGAAUGAGCUAAGAGAAUCUAAAUUGGCAGCCAAAGAAUGAGUUUAAUUGAUAUGGAUUGGUAUAUAUACUACAGAUAGAGCAACUAAGAAUCUUGAUUGAUAUCUACUCAGUUACAAAUGAAAUCCCAGCUAACUCGUAAACACUUCUCCUUCCAAAUUCACCUCACUGCCACAAGCAAAACACCUUAUAUGUGCUGCACUUAAGAUACAUCUUGGUUAAUUGCAUUCGCCAUUUAAGAAAAAGGCAGCAUAGACAUUUAAUGAGAAUGCUUGAAUGGGAAUCGUUUUAGCAACUGACUAUAGAUUCGAGUCUAAACCGCCGGUAGAGGAGAGACCAUUUUCAUGAGAGAGGGACCAGCAAGUGA
rnacentral:lncRNA from 1 species